rnacentral:snoRNA from 1 species
CCAUGUGAUGAGUCUAAGGCGAAUGUGACCUGCUUCCUCCUGACCUUGUCCCUUUGUACCCCCACCCUUCUGUUCAGGGUGGGGGUUGUCUGUACUGAUCUGUGAUCUUGGUGUGUGGGGGGGAGAGCUGACCCCCCCACCGUAAAGCCAGAUCUAUAUCAAACUUCAGCACCCCAUACCCAGCCACAGCCACCCAGAGGCCCCAGUACCCUGCGGUCUGGGAAAUGGGCACAUGCCUGCUAGGGGGUCAAAGGUCAAUGUGAUGGGAAGUUGAAAUGAGCACUAGUUCUCAAAAUCUGAUG